rnacentral:rRNA from 1 species
AUUGAACGCUGGCGGCAGGCCUAACACAUGCAAGUCGAACGGUAGCACAGAGAGCUUGCUCCUUGGGUGGCGAGUGGCGGACGGGUGAGGAAUGCAUCGGAAUCUGCCUAUUUGUGGGGGAUAACGUAGGGAAACUUACGCUAAUACCGCAUACGUCCUACGGGAGAAAGUGGGGGACCUUCGGGCCUCACGCAGAUAGAUGAGCCGAUGCCGGAUUAGCUAGUUGGCGGGGUAAAGGCCUACCAAGGCGACGAUCCGUAGCUGGUCUGAGAGGAUGAUCAGCCACACUGGAACUGAGACACAGUCCAGACUCCUACGGGAGGCAGCAGUGGGGAAUAUUGGACAAUGGGCGCAAGCCUGAUCCAGCCAUGCCGCGUGUGUGAAGAAGGCCUUUGGGUUGUAAAGCACUUUUGUCCGGAAAGAAAAGCGCUCGAUUAAUACUCGGGUGUUAUGACGGUACCGGAAGAAUAAGCACCGGCUAACUUCGUGCCAGCCGCCGCAGUAAAAC